UACGUAGGGUGCAAGCGUUGUCCGGAAUUAUUGGGCGUAAAGAGCGUGUAGGCGGCCCGAUUAGUCCGCUGUGAAAGUCCAGGGCUCAACCCUGGAAUGCCGGUGGAUACUGUCGGGCUCGAGUACGGAAGAGGCGAGUGGAAUUCCUGGUGUAGCGGUGAAAUGCGCAGAUAUCAGGAGGAACACCAACGGCGAAGGCGGGUCUCUGGACAGUUCCUGACACUGAGGCACGAAGGCCAGGGGAGCAAACGGGG
rnacentral:rRNA from 1 species